GCUUUCUAUAUAUUUACUAUUAAAUUUUCGAAAUCUCCGGCGCGCAAUUUCCAAACUUUCCAGUCUGGAUUAAUGAGGACCCAGACUGGAAAGUUUGGAAAUUGCGCGCCGGAGAUUUCGAAAAUUUAAUAGUAAAUAUAUAGAAAGC